rnacentral:rRNA from 1 species
AGCGAACGCUGGCGGCAGGCCUAACACAUGCAAGUCGAACGAACUCUUCGGAGUUAGUGGCGGACGGGUGAGUAACACGUGGGAACGUGCCUUUUGGUUCGGAAUAACUCAGUGAAACUUGUGCUAAUACCGAAUGUGCUCUUCGGGGGAAAGAUUUAUCGCCAUUAGAGCGGCCCGCGUCUGAUUAGCUAGUUGGUGAGGUAACGGCGCACCAAGGCGACGAUCAGUAGCUGGUCUGAGAGGAUGACUAGCCACACUGGGACUGAGACACGGCCCAGAAUGCUACGGGAGGCAGGAGUGGGGAAUCUUGCGCAAGGGGCGCAAGCGUGACACAGCCAUGCCGCGUAAAUGAUGCAGGUGUUAGGAUAGUACAAUUCUUUCACCGGGGGCGAUAAUGACGGUAACCGGAGAAGAAGCACCGGCUAACUUCGUG